rnacentral:rRNA from 1 species
UACGGAGGGAGCUAGCGUUGUUCGGAUUUACUGGGCGUAAAGGGCGCGUAGGCGGCCACCGCAAGUCGACUGUGAAAUCUCCGGGCUUAACCCGGAAAGGUCAGCCGAUACUGCGGGGCUAGAGUGCAGAAGGGGCAACUGGAAUUCUCGGUGUAGCAGUGAAAUGCGUAGAUAUCGAGAGGAACACCAGUGGCGAAGGCGGGUCUCUGGGC